UACGAAGGGGGCUAGCGUUGCUCGGAAUCACUGGGCGUAAAGGGUGCGUAGGCGGGCCUUUAAGUCAGAGGUGAAAUCCUGGAGCUCAACUCCAGAACUGCCUUUGAUACUGAAGAUCUUGAGUUCGGGAGAGGUGAGUGGAACUGCGAGUGUAGAGGUGAAAUUCGUAGAUAUUCGCAAGAACACCAGUGGCGAAGGCGGCUCACUGGCCCGAUACUGACGCUGAGGCACGAAAGCGUGGGGAGCAAACAGG
rnacentral:rRNA from 1 species